rnacentral:rRNA from 1 species
UACGAAGGGUGCAAGCGUUACUCGGAAUUACUGGGCGUAAAGCGUGCGUAGGCGGUUUGUUAAGUCCGUUGUGAAAGCCCUGGGCUCAACCUGGGAAUUGCAGUGGAUACUGGCGAGCUAGAGUAUGGCAGAGGGGGGUAGAAUUCCACGUGUAGCAGUGAAAUGCGUAGAGAUGUGGAGGAAUACCGAUGGCGAAGGCAGCCCCCUGGGCCAAUACUGACGCUCAUGCACGAAAGCGUGGGGAGCAAACAGG